UGGCUCAGAGGUUAAAGCAUCUGCCUGCAAUGCGGGAGACCCAGGUUCCAUCCCUGG
rnacentral:tRNA from 1 species